UCCCCUAGUAACGGCGAGUGAAGUGGGAAAAGCUCAACUUUGAAAUCUGGUACUGUCAGUAUCCGAAUUGUAGUCUCAAGAAGUGUUUUCUGUGCCGGUCCAUGUAUGAGUCUGUUGGAACACAGCGUCAUAGAGGGUGACAACCCCGUUCAUGACAUGGAUCCCGGUGCUUUGUGAUACACUCUCGAAGAGUCGAGUUGUUUGGGAAUGCAGCUCAAAUUGGGUGGUAAAUUCCAUCUAAAGCUAAAUAUUGGCGAGAGACCGAUAGCAAACAAGUACCGUGAGGGAAAGAUGAAAAGCACUUUGGAAAGAGAGUUAACAGUACGUGAAAUUGUUGAAAGGGAAACGAUUGAAGUCAGACGUGCGUGAUGCGGUUCAGCUUUAGUUCGCUAGAGUGUACUCCGUAUCUUUGCAGGCCAGCAUCGGUUUUGUUAGUCGGAUAAAGGUUUGAGAAAUGUGGCAUCUUCGGAUGUGUUAUAGUCUCAGACUGAAUACGAUUGAUGGGACCGAGGAACGCAGCGCGCCGCAAGGCAAAGGUUCCGACCUUUUCGCGCUUAGGAUGCUGGUGAAAUGGCUUUAAACGACCCGUCUUGAAACACGGACCAAGGAGUCUAACAUGCUUGCGAGUGUUUGGGUGGCAAACCCAUACGCGUAAUGAAAGUGAAUGGAGGUGGGAUCCUUUACCGGAGCACCAUCGACCGAUCCGGAUUUUUAAUGAAGGGUUUGAGUAAGAGCACGUAUGUUGGGACCCGAAAGAUGGUGAACUAUGCCUGAAUAGGG
rnacentral:rRNA from 1 species